GAACCCAGGGUGCCCUUCCACCCAGGUACAUUCCUAGCCCAUUUUUUAUUUGGGGCAGAGUCUUGCUAAAUUGCUAGGCGGAACUAAAAUUUGCAAUCCUCCUGCCUCAGGUGCUGGGAUUGCAGGGCUGCACCACCAGGCCUGGCUCUGGCCAGGAUGAAUUUUAAAGGUCACCGAUUCAGAGAGAGCAGCCUGAAGAGCAGGCGCGCGGUAUGGCGUGUGAGGCCCUGCGUGGGGGCCUCUGGGGAAGCCGGUGAGUCAGCCGCCUUCUCUCUAAUAGCGUUCACCUCCGCGCGAGGAGUAAUAGGAGAGGCCGUCAUUAGCCAAGGUGUGAGUAACAGGGUUCAAACUCAAGAGGGACUCGGUGUGUUCCGCUGGGGAAGGGUGAGCUGGGGCUCUUCCCUGCCUGCGGAGGAGGCGCAGACCGCGGAGUCCAAGCCCAGGGACGGCGAUGAGUCCCUUAGACACCGGCCCAGGACGGAGACCCACAGGAACACGUCUGGGAGACCCUUCACCAGUAAUGGGGUCCUGCCUGCUGCAGGGUCGGGGGUGCAAGGUCGCGUGUCCCUGGCUUAUAGGGACGCUGAUUCUCGGGCUUAAAGUCUCUGUCUUCCCUCCUGGCAGUUCACCUGGGCCACCUUUGCACAGGUUGAGGAAUGUGGCGUGGACACAGAGCGAACAUGAGCCUGCUCUUCUGCACUCCCUUUCGUCAGAGCGGAGGUGGUGCCGGGAGGAGGAGCCAUCUGUGGAGUCCAAGCAGCAAUGUGUGACUAGCAUUUGCAGGCGCCGUGUGCGUGGCCAGAAACGGACACUACGUGGCCCUGCUUGGGCCUCUAUGGUGGCAGGGCCUAGGGCAUGGAGAAAUGAGCCAGAGAAGGGGCCGUGAAAGUCUUGAAAGUAGACUUGACAUUCGUGGAGGAGCUUGGUGUGCUGAGACGCAGGACCACCAGCAGUCAAGGCUCCUGAAAAGGACCUGGAGCUUUUAGAAAAGUGGAAUCAGCAUCAGUCUGAACAAAUGGGCUUGGGGCCCAGCAACCAGGUUGGACAACUCAGGACGACAGAGACUUAGGUCUGUGUGAUCUCAAGGGCCGAGCUCAACCUGGAGUCUGCGGGGGAAGCCUUGAACAUUCCCCCACAUAUUUCUGGCUUCCGUCCAGCCUAGCGUAGAAAGUGGUGGUCAGGAUGUUCUGAACACCAGCCUCUCUCCACCCGAGCC
rnacentral:lncRNA from 1 species